rnacentral:misc_RNA from 1 species
AGCAGCCGCGGUAAUUCCAGCUCCAAUAGCGUAUAUUAAAGUUGUUGCAGUUAAAAAGCUCGUAGUUGAAUUUCGGGAUCAAUACGUCGGUCGUGCUUCGGUACGUACUGGCGUAAUUGAUUUCUCCCUUCUGACGAACCAUGAUGUCAUUAACUUGGUGUCAUGGGAAAUCAGGACUGUUACUUUGAAAAAUUAGAGUGUUUAAAGCAGGCUCACGCUUGAAUACAUUAGCAUGGAAUAAUGAAAUAGGACGUUCGAUCCUAUUUUGUUGGUUUUUAGGAUCAACGUAAUGAUUAAUAGGGAUAGUUGGGGGCAUUAGUAUUCAAUUGUCAGAGGUGAAAUUCUUGGAUUUAUUGAAGACUAACUACUGCGAAAGCAUUUGCCAAGGAUGUUUUCAUUAAUCAAGAACGAAAGUUAGGGGAUCGAAGACGAUCAGAUACCGUCGUAGUCUUAACCAUAAACUAUGCCGACUAGGGAUCGGAUGA